rnacentral:rRNA from 1 species
AUUGAACGCUGGCGGCAGGCCUAACACAUGCACGUCGAACGAGUGGCGGACGGGUGAGUAAUGUCUGGGAAACUGCCCGAGGGAGGGGGAUAACUAAUGGAAACGGUAGCUAAUCCCGCAUACCAUCGGAGGUGACCAGAUGGGAGUAGCUAGUAGGGGGGGUAACGGCUCACCUAGGCGACGAUCCCUAUCUGGUCGGAGAGGAUGACCAUCCACACGGUAACUGAGACACGGUCCAGACUCCUCCGGGAGGCAGCAGUGGGGAAUAUUGCACAAUGGGCGCAAGCCUGAUGCUGCCAUGCCGCGUGUAGGAAGAAGGCCUUCGGGUUGUAAAGUACUUUCAGCGAGGAGGCGUUACUCGCAGAAGAAGCACCGGCUAACUCCGUGCCAGCAGCCGCGGUAAUAC